rnacentral:rRNA from 1 species
UACGUAGGUCCCAAGCGUUAUCCGGAAUUACUGGGCGUAAAGAGUUGCGUAGGUGGCAUCGUAAGUCGGUAGUGAAAGCGUGGGGCUCAACCCCAUAAUCAUUACUGAAACUGCGAAGCUUGAGGACGAGAGAGGUAAUUGGAAUUCCCAGUGUAGGAGUGAAAUCCGUAGAUAUUGGGAGGAACACCGAUGGCGUAGGCAGAUUACUGGCUCGUUCCUGACACUAAGGCACGAAAGCGUGGGGAGCAAACGGG